GCCGCCGCCCGCUCCCAGCCCGCCGCGGCGCCCUCCGCCCGCCGCCCGCCUUUGGCCGCGCCGCCCCGUGCAGGUGGGCCCCGCGGCGCCAGCCCGCGCCGGCUCCCCUGGAGGCCCUUCAACCUGCCGGCACCGCGCAGCCCCGGGGCGCGGGCGCAGCCUCCCGGGCGAGCCGAGGGCCUUCGCUGCCUGGAGUCGGCGCCUGCUCGCGAAGCCCAGGUGCUGAAGGUUUCCAUGAGGCGGUAGAAUUUGAGCCGAAGCUCAGAAGAUAAUGAUCUAAGCAAGGCACCAUCAAGCAUCGAGUUCCUCCAGUGUAUAAAUGAGAAAAUCAGUGGAUGCACCAAGAGGGCAGAACCAGAACUGGACGGAGCUCAAGGGUGACUGAGUCUAACGGAAGAAUCAUGAAAGGCAACAUGGAGUAGGUGGAUUUGAAGGUGGCUGCCUGGGGGAAGGAACUUUCCGGGGACUGGAGGAUGAAGAAUGCAGUGGUCUGGACCUGAACCUGGAAUACAAGUGUGAUUAUGAUGCCCACUUUACAGAUGAGGAUUUUUAGACUGAACCAGAAUUCAAACCCAGGCAAUCUGACUAUGAGCUCAAGCUCUUAACCAUCUUAAAAUACUAAUUCUUACACAGUAAGUAUACAAUGUGUGUUGUAUUAU